rnacentral:ncRNA from 1 species
UAGCAAUAACAGGUCUGUGAUGCCCUUAGAUGUUCGGGGCCGCACGCGCGCUACACUGACCGGAUCAGCGUGUGCUCUCCUUGGCCGACAGGUCCGGGAAACCCGUUGAACCCCGGUUGUGCUAGGGAUAGGGAAUUGCAAUUAUUUCCCUUGAACGAGGAAUUCCCAGUAAGCGCGAGUCAUUAGCUCGCGUUGAUUACGUCCCUGCCCUUUGUACACACCGCCCGUCGCUACUACCGAUUGAAUGGUUUAGUGAGGUCCUCCGAUUGGACCCGGUCCGGGCGGCGACGUCCGAGCCGGCGUCCGAGAAGACGAUCUAACUUGAUCAUUUAGAGGAAGUAAAAGUCGUAACAAGGUUUCCGUAGGUGAACCUGCGGAAGGAUCAUUA